AAGAUGGCCAAAGAAUAAUGAUGUCCUUUCUGUAAACAGUCACCACUGUUGGGUAAUUCUGUCAUCCUCUUCUGUCCUUAUCUUUAAUUUUAUUUAUGGCACCACCAUGCAUCCAUUCAUCUGUUUGGACAGCUUGCAUAGACCUAGACUCCUUCCCUUCACCUCUGUUUCAGGGGUUACUCCAUCAUUAUCAUGGCAGGGAACAUGGCAGGAUGCAGGCAGAUGGUAGCUGAGAGUUCUACAUCUGGAUCCACAGGAAGCAGUUGAUUGAGAAUAAUGGUUCUGUUUUGGAGGUUGAUGGAAGAUGCCCUUUGGCCAGGAAAACAGCUCAUGCUUUUAGAGGAGGAUAAUUGCCAGAAGGCCUCUCUGAAUAAAAAAAAAUCCUGACCUCACAGCCUUUGCGCUUACUUGGGUUAGAAUGCCACAGUGAACAUUGCCCCUUGUCAUCACGUAGAGGUGCUCACAGGUAAAGCAACACAAGGAGCAUAUAGGAUCACCUGCUGGAUCUUGUUUUUAACACCAGGGAGGAAAAUGGUGUCUUGGGUAAUGAACAUGCCUCAAGACUGAGCUGGCCAUCUUCAGUGUCAUCCAAACCCUCAGUGGCCCCUGAAAAACCCUUUGAAAAGAUUCAGCACGUUGCCAUGGAGAACAUCCCACUGAAGGAAUGUAUAGAAGUAGCAGGGAUCUGCAAUGAGAUGGGAGAAGGCAACAGGCUGUGUGGGAACCACUGAAGCUGGGAUGGCAGGGAAAGAACAUCUUAGGCUAACUCUUCAAGCCUUGCUGUCACAUUUGCUUUUGAGUCUAUGGUUCCUUAUUAUUUUGGAAGGGUCUGAGAACCCACAGGGCACCCUGGGUCAUGACUCAUGUGACUGAGGAAGCACACAGAUCUGUGGAUCUCCAAGUCUAGAUGACAGCAAGCUAACAGGACACUGUUUAUGACAUAUAUAGCCCCCCCCCAACCCCUGCAGAUUUCAAAUAGGUUCUGACAAAGCUUUGUGGUAUCUGAAGGGUAGAUAGAGAAAAUAAGUGUAUCAUUUUGGUUUCUGUUUCUGCAUUACAGGUGUCAGCUGCCUACCAGUUGCUUUCAUCUCUAGAAAUCUGUGACUUGCAGUAUGACAAGAACAAAAGGUGACAAUACAAAGGACAAAGGGCAAGGAAUACAGACGGAGAAGCCGCUUAGAGUCUAGGAUGGCAGAGGUUCUCUUGAUCAUUUCAUUUUUGAGCGCUUGUAGAGCUUUGGUGUACCAGAGGUGCUUGAACAGCUUACCACACCACAGAUGAAUGGCCUUUGGAUUUCUCCUAAGAAAAUGUGGCUACCUGAAAUUCAACUCCAUUUUCUGGUCUUCAAUAUUUCUUUUGUGUUCAGUUUGCCAGCUGAGGAGAAGUGGCUAAGCAUAGCCUGUUACUGAUGCUAAAGCCCAAGUUCUGAACCUAACAACUCCAGCAACAUGAUCCUGUUUCAAGAGACAAAAAAGUGACUAAUGAAAGAAAACAAUUGAUGUGCUAUGUAGAGUUUAAAAGAAGGUAAAGAGAAUAAAUUAAAAGCAACAACUCUC
rnacentral:lncRNA from 1 species